CUACGGGUUGCUGCAGUGGGAAUAUUGCACAAUGGAGGAAACUCUGAUGCAGCAACGCCGCGUGGAGGAUGACACUUUUCGGAGCGUAAACUCCUUUUAUAUAGGAAGAAGAUGACGGUACUAUAUGAAUAAGCGCCGGCUAACUCCGUGCCAGCAGCCGCGGUAAUACGGAGGGCGCAAGCGUUACUCGGAAUCACUGGGCGUAAAGAGCGUGUAGGCGGAUUAAAAAGUCAGAAGUGAAAUCCUAUAGCUUAACUAUAGAACUGCUUCUGAAACUCUUAAUCUAGAAUAUGGGAGAGGUAGAUGGAAUUUCUGGUGUAGGGGUAAAAUCCGUAGAGAUCAGAAGGAAUACGGAUUGCGAAGGCGAUCUACUAGAACAUUAUUGACGCUGAGACGCGAAAGCGUGGGGAGCAAACAGGAUUAGAUACCCUCGUAGUC
rnacentral:rRNA from 1 species